rnacentral:rRNA from 1 species
AUUGAACGCUGGCGGCAUGCCUUACACAUGCAAGUCGAACGGUAACGGGCCUUCGGGUGCCGACGGGUGGCGAACGGGUGAGUAAUACAUCGGAACGUGCCCGAUCGUGGGGGAUAACGAGGCGAAAGCUUUGCUAAUACCGCAUACGAUCUACGGAUGAAAGCAGGGGACCGCAAGGCCUUGCGCGGACGGAGCGGCCGAUGGCAGAUUAGGUAGUUGGUGGGAUAAAAGCUUACCAAGCCGACGAUCUGUAGCUGGUCUGAGAGGAUGAUCAGCCACACUGGGACUGAGACACGGCCCAGACUCCUACGGGAGGCAGCAGUGGGGAAUUUUGGACAAUGGGCGCAAGCCUGAUCCAGCCAUGCCGCGUGCAGGAUGAAGGCCUUCGGGUUGUAAACUGCUUUUGUACGGAACGAAAAGCCUUCUUUUAAUACAGGAGGGUCAUGACGGUACCGUAAGAAUAAGCACCGGCUAACUACGUG